rnacentral:rRNA from 1 species
GACGAACGCUGGCGGCGUGCUUAACACAUGCAAGUCGAGCGGUAAGGCCCUUUCGGGGGUACACGAGCGGCGAACGGGUGAGUAACACGUGGGUGACCUGCCCUCAGCUCUGGGAUAAGCCUGGGAAACCGGGUCUAAUACCGGAUAUGACUCCAUGACGCAUGUUGUGGGGUGGAAAGCCUUGUGCGGCUGAGGAUGGGCCCGCGGCCUAUCAGCUUGUUGGUGGGGUGAUGGCCCACCAAGGCGACGACGGGUAGCCGGCCUGAGAGGGCGACCGGCCACACUGGGACUGAGACACGGCCCAGACUCCUACGGGAGGCAGCAGUGGGGAAUCUUGCGCAAUGGGCGAAAGCCUGACGCAGCGACGCCGCGUGAGGGAUGACGGCC